AUGAACGCUAGCGGCAGGCUUAACACAUGCAAGGUCGAGGGGCAACACGGGUAGCAAUACCUGGUGGCGACCGGCGCAAGGGUGCGUAACGCGUGAGCAACAUGCCCUAUACAGGGGGAUAAUCCAGGGAAACUUGGUCUAAUAUCCCAUAGUAUUUAGAGGUGGCAUCACCACUAAAUUAAAGCUUCGGUGGUAUAGGAUUGGCUCGCGUGACAUUAGCUGGAUGGUGGGGUAACGGCUCACCAUGGCGAUGAUGUCUAGGGGUUCUGAGAGGAAGACCCCCCACACUGGGACUGAGACACGGCCCAGACUCCUACGGGAGGCAGCAGUGAGGAAUAUUGGACAAUGGAUGGAAAUCUGAUCCAGCCAUGCCGCGUGCAGGAAGACGGCCCUAUGGGUUGUAAACUGCUUUUAUAUGGGAGCAAUAAGGUUUACGCGUAGACCGAUGAGAGUACCAUAUGAAUAAGCAUCGGCUAACUCCGUG
rnacentral:rRNA from 1 species